UUAUUCUUGCUUAGAAUAUUAUUUAUUAUAAUUUUGUUUUGUAUGUAAUAUUUUUGUGUAAUUAUUUAUUUAAUAUUCUUAAUGAUUGUGAAUAUAUUAUUAUGUUGCAGUAAAGAAUAUUAGUUAGUUUAAGAAGUUUUGAUUUAGUAAUUAUUGAAUAUAUUGGUAAAAUAUGUGCCAGCAGCCGCGGUUACACAUGAAAUAUAAAUAAAUAUUUUUAGUUAAAAUAGUUAAUUGAUAUAUGUAUAGAUUUAUUAUUUUUAUUAUUGGGUGAAAUUUUUAAUUUUAGUUUAUGAUUUUAUUAUUAUGAUUAUGAUGCUAUGAAAUUUUAAUUUUAAACUAGGAUUAGAUACCCUAUUAUUUGGAAUUUAAAGUAUUUAACUUUAGUAGUAUUAGAUAUAAUCUUGAAACUUAAAGAAUUUGGCGGUAUUUUAUUCUGGUUAGAGGAAUCUGUUUUGUAAUCGAUAAUCCACGUUAUACCUUACUUAAUUUAUUUAUUUAUAUAUCGCCGUUGUGAGGAUCUUUUUAGGGUUAAAUUUUCUUUAAAUAACUUAUUAUAAUAUUUCAGGUCAAGGUGUAGUUUAUAAUUAAGAUGAUAAUGGAUUACAAUGUGAAUAUAGCACAUGAAUUAUUUAUUGUAAUAUGGAUAUGAAGGUGGAUUUAAUUGUAAUUUUAUAUAUAUUGUUAAUAUGAUAUUGCUCUAAAAUAUGUACACAUCGCCCGUCACUCUCAUUUAUUUUAAAGUGAGAUAAGUCGUAACAUAGUAAUUGUACCGGAAGGUGUAAUUAGUUUGAU
rnacentral:ncRNA from 1 species